rnacentral:rRNA from 1 species
UACGUAGGGGGCAAGCGUUGUCCGGAAUCAUUGGGCGUAAAGCGCGUGUAGUCGGCUCGGUAAGUCCGCUCUGAAAGUCCAGGGCUCAACCCUGGGAUGCGGGUGGAUACUGCCGGGCUCGAGUCCGGAAGAGGCGAGUGGAAUUCCCGGUGUAGCGGUGAAAUGCGCAGAUAUCGGGAGGAACACCAAUGGCGAAGGCAGCUCGCUGGGACGUGACUGACGCUGAGACGCGAAAGCGUGGGGAGCAAACAGG